GACGAACGCUGGCGGCGUGCUUAACGCAUGCAAGUCGAACGGAAAGGCCCUGCUUUUGUGGGGUGCUCGAGUGGCGAACCGGUGAGUAACACGUGAGUAACCUGCCCUUGACUUUGGGAUAACUUCAGGAAACUGGGGCUAAUACCGGAUAGGAGCUCCUGCUGCAUGGUGGGGGUUGGAAAGUUUCGGCGGUUGGGGAUGGACUCGCGGCUUAUCAGCUUGUUGGUGGGGUAGUGGCUUACCAAGGCUUUGACGGGUAGCCGGCCUGAGAGGGUGACCGGCCACAUUGGGACUGAGAUACGGCCCAGACUCCUACGGGAGGCAGCAGUGGGGAAUAUUGCACAAUGGGCGGAAGCCUGAUGCAGCAACGCCGCGUGCGGGAUGACGGCCUUCGGGUUGUAAACCGCUUUCGCCUGUGACGAAGCGUGAGUGACGGUAAUGGGUAAAGAAGCACCGGCUAACUACGUG
rnacentral:rRNA from 1 species